rnacentral:rRNA from 1 species
UACGUAGGGUCCGAGCGUUGUCCGGAAUUACUGGGCGUAAAGAGCUCGUAGGUGGUUUGUCGCGUUGUUCGUGAAAACUCACAGCUCAACUGUGGGCGUGCGGGCGAUACGGGCAGACUAGAGUACUGCAGGGGAGACUGGAAUUCCUGGUGUAGCGGUGGAAUGCGCAGAUAUCAGGAGGAACACCGGUGGCGAAGGCGGGUCUCUGGGCAGUAACUGACGCCGAGGAGCGAAAGCGUGGGGAGCGAACAGG